UACGUAGGGCGCAAGCGUUUGUCCGGAAUUAUUGGGCGUAAAGAGCUCGUAGGCGGUUUGUCGCGUCUGCCGUGAAAACCCGAGGCUUAACCUCGGGCUGGCGGUGGAUACGGGCAGACUAGAGGUAGGUAGGGGAGAAUGGAAUUCCUGGUGUAGCGGUGAAAUGCGCAGAUAUCGGGAGGAACACCGGUGGCGAAGGCGGUUCUCUGGGCCUUACCUGACGCUG
rnacentral:rRNA from 1 species